AGUCGGUCCAAAGGUAGUGGGUUAUCUCAAUUGAUCACUCACAUCAGUUACAGAUGGAAUUCCUCCUUCUAACUCUUUCUCCCCUUCUCACUACUGCACUUGACUCGUCUUCA
rnacentral:Y_RNA from 1 species